rnacentral:SRP_RNA from 1 species
GCUGGGCACGGUGGCGCGUGCCUGUAAUCCCAGCUACUCGGGAGGCUGAGGUGGGAGGAUCGCUUGAGCCCAGGAGUUCUGGGCUGUAGUGCGCUAUGCCGAUCAGGUGUCCGCACUAAGUUCAGCUUCAAUAUGGUGACCUCCUGGGAGCGGGGACCACCAGGUUGCCUAAGGAGGGGUGAACCGGCCCAGGUCGGAAACAGAGCAGGUCAAAACUCCUGUGCCGAUCAGUAGUGGUAUCACGCCUGUGAAUAGCCACUGCACUCCAGCCUGGGCAACAUAGCGAGACCCCAUCUCA